rnacentral:rRNA from 1 species
UGGUUAAAAAGCUCGUAGUUGGAUCUCGGCGGACUGAGGGCGGUUUGCUUGCUAGUAUUACUGCCCUAUAGUCCGUAGUUUUGCCAGAGGUUUCGGGGUGCUCUUAAUCGAGUGUCCCGGGAUGCUGGCAGGUUUACUUUGAAAAAAUUAGAGUGCUCAAAGCAGGCUAUUACGCCUGAAUAUUCGUGCAUGGAAUAAUAGAAUAGGAAGUCGUUUCUAUUUUGUUGGUUUUCGGAAAUCGACUUAAUGAUUAAUAGGGACAGUCGGGGGCAUUUGUAUUCAAACGACAGAGGUGAAAUUCUUGGACCGUUUGAAGACAAACUACUGCGAAAGCAUUUGCCAAGAAUGUUUUCAUUAAUCAAGAACGAAAGUUAAAGGUUCGAAGGCGUUUAGAUACCGCCCUAGUUUUAACCAUAAACGAUGCCAGCUAGCGAUCUGCGGACGUUUUUUUUGUAGACUCCGCAGGAAGCUUCCGGGAAACCAAAGCAUUUGGGUUCCAGGGGAAGUAUGGUUGCAAAGCUGAAACUUAAAGGAAUUGACGGAAGGGCACCACCAGGAGUGGAGCCUGUGGCUUAAUUUGACUCAACACGGGAAAUCUCACCAGGCCCGGACACUGGAAGGAUUGACAGAUUGAUAGCUCUU